GGACGGGCUAGCUUUGUGGCUACUGCGGUCGAUAUCCGCUGUUUCGAUAGCUAAAAAAUGGCAGAAUCAGCGGUCAGCAGUGCAGACGAGGACGAGUUUCAGCAUUCAGACACUCAGCGUCUAACUUGAGGAAACAUGUUGCGGUUCAGUCCAGCUGAAAUGGGAUUUUUGAGUAUGUUGCUGUGAUGAAGCCUGUUGCCAUGGCCCUUAAUACCCUCCAAGGGGAAUCAUCUAUGCAUGUGGGCUUCCUGCUGCCAACACUGUACCAGUUGCGAGACAAGCUGAAGAGGCUAGAGUGAUCAUGCAAAAUGUGUACACCUCUUGUUCACGGUCUGUGGAGAGGGAUCCAGAAACGUUUUGGAGACAUCAUGAAAGAGCCUGAGCUGAUUGCAGCAACAGUACACCUAUCAAGAUUGAGAACAUCCUGGACGACAGAGGAGUACAUCUUAAAUGCUGGCCCUGACUACAUCAGAAAUAACCUCAACACCAACUUGGAUGAUGUCACCAGUACAAACAGCAACCGGUCUGAUGAAGAUGAUUUGGAGUCAGGAAAAUCUCAAGUCGGAGAGCUGGAGAGGUUCCUUUCAUGUCUGUCCACUGCAGGUAUGGAUCUAGUGCAGGACUCCUGUUGACUGCUAAACGAUCACAGCUUCACAGCAGGAACCUUGAGAACCAACUGCUGUUGAAGCUUAAUAGUCACAUCACUGAGUGAUUCUUUGGUGAAAAUGUUUGUUUCUGCAUGUUUUGUCACAAAUGCACAGUUUAUGAGAGUUUAUGGCCUGGUUCUGCCUCAUGCUGAGCCACAUGCACAGAGUUCAUGGACUGUCUUGUUCUAGUUCUGCCUGGUGAAAAAGUAGAGAGGUUUGGAAAUUUGUGUAACUUGUGCUGUAAUUUAAGUUAUAUUGUAAAUAUUUUUUUAAUGUACUCUCAUUAUUUCAUUUUUUAAUUUUUAUUGAGGUACUUGAAUUUAACUCAAGAUUAUUUUAUUUAUUAAUUUAAUUACUUU